AUUGAACGCUGGCGGCAGGCCUAACACAUGCAAGUCGAGCGGAUGAAGGGAGCUUGCUCCUGGAUUCAGCGGCGGACGGGUGAGUAAUGCCUAGGAAUCUGCCUGGUAGUGGGGGAUAACGUCCGGAAACGGGCGCUAAUACCGCAUACGUCCUGAGGGAGAAAGUGGGGGAUCUUCGGACCUUACGCUAUCAGAUGAGCCUAGGUCGGAUUAGCUAGUUGGUGGGGUAAAGGCCUACCAAGGCGACGAUCCGUAACUGGUCUGAGAGGAUGAUCAGUCACACUGGAACUGAGACACGGUCCAGACUCCUACGGGAGGCAGCAGUGGGGAAUAUUGGACAAUGGGCGAAAGCCUGAUCCAGCCAUGCCGCGUGUGUGAAGAAGGUCUUCGGAUUGUAAAGCACUUUAAGUUGGGAGGAAGGGCGGUAAGUUAAUACCUUGCUGUUUUGACGUUACCAACAGAAUAAGCACCGGCUAACUUCGUG
rnacentral:rRNA from 1 species